UACGUAGGGUGCAAGCGUUAAUCGGAAUUACUGGGCGUAAAGCGUGCGCAGGCGGUGAUGUAAGACCGAUGUGAAAUCCCCGGGCUUAACCUGGGAACUGCAUUGGUGACUGCAUUGCUAGAGUAUGGCAGAGGAAGGUGGAAUUCCACGUGUAGCGGUGAAAUGCGUAGAGAUGUGGAGGAACACCGAUGGCGAAGGCAGCCUUCUGGGCCAACACUGACGCUCAUGCACGAAAGCGUGGGGAGCAAACAGG
rnacentral:rRNA from 1 species